rnacentral:rRNA from 1 species
UUGGGUGUAAACCCGCACGCGUAAUGAAAGUGAACGUAGGUGAGAGCUUCGGCGCAUCAUCGACCGAUCCUGAUGUAUUCGGAUGGAUUUGAGUAAGAGCGUAUAGCCUCGGACCCGAAAGAUGGUGAACUAUGCCUGAAUAGGGUGAAGCCAGAGGAAACUCUGGUGGAGGCUCGCAGCGGUUCUGACGUGCAAAUCGAUCGUCAAAUUUGGGCAUGGGGGCGAAAGACUAAUCGAACCAUCUAGUAGCUGGUUACCGCCGAAGUUUCCCUCAGGAUAGCAGUGUUGUUCUUCAGUUUUAUGAGGUAAAGCGAAUGAUUAGGGACUCGGGGGCGCUAUAUAGCCUUCAUCCAUUCUCAAACUUUAAAUAUGUAAGAAGCCCUUGUUACUUAAUUGAACGUGGGCAUUCGAAUGUACCAACACUAGUGGGCCAUUUUUGGUAAGCAGAACUGGCGAUGCGGGAUGAACCGAACGCGGGGUUAAGGUGCCAGAGUGGACGCUCAUCAGACACCACAAAAGGCGUUAGUACAUCUUGACAGCAGGACGGUGGCCAUGGAAGUCGGAAUCCGCUAAGGACUGUGUAACAACUCACCUGCCGAAUGUACUAGCCCUGAAAAUGGAUGGCGCUCAAGCGUCCCACCCAUACCCCGCCGUCAGGGUAGAAACGAUGCCCUGACGAGUAGGCGGCCGUGGGGGUCAGUGACGAAGCCUAGGGCGUGAGCCC